ACGGAAGGCAGCAGUGGGGAAUAUUGCACAAUGGGGGAAACCCUGAUGCAGCGACGCCGCGUGAGUGAAGAAGUAUUUCGGUAUGUAAAGCUCUAUCAGCAGGGAAGAAAACGACGGUACCUGACUAAGAAGCACCGGCUAAAUACGUGCCAGCAGCCGCGGUAAUACGUAUGGUGCAAGCGUUAUCCGGAUUUACUGGGUGUAAAGGGUGCGUAGGUGGCAUGGCAAGUCAGAAGUGAAAUGCGGGGGCUCAACCCCUGAACUGCUUUUGAAACUGUCAAGCUAGAGUGCAGGAGAGGCAAGCGGAAUUCCUAGUGUAGCGGUGAAAUGCGUAGAUAUUAGGAGGAACACCAGUGGCGAAGGCGGCUUGCUGGACUGAUACUGACACUGAGGCACGAAAGCGUGGGGAGCAAACAGGAUUAGAUACCCUGGUA
rnacentral:rRNA from 1 species